CAGGAGAGCUUGCUCUCUGGGUGGCGAGUGGCGGACGGGUGAGGAAUACAUCGGAAUCUACUUUUUCGUGGGGGAUAACGUAGGGAAACUUACGCUAAUACCGCAUACGACCUACGGGUGAAAGCAGGGGAUCUUCGGACCUUGCGCGAUUGAAUGAGCCGAUGUCGGAUUAGCUAGUUGGCGGGGUAAAGGCCCACCAAGGCGACGAUCCGUAGCUGGUCUGAGAGGAUGAUCAGCCACACUGGAACUGAGACACGGUCCAGACUCCUACGGGAGGCAGCAGUGGGGAAUAUUGGACAAUGGGCGCAAGCCUGAUCCAGCCAUACCGCGUGGGUGAAGAAGGCCUUCGGGUUGUAAAGCCCUUUUGUUGGGAAAGAAAUCCAGCUGGUUAAUACCCGGUUGGGAUGACGGUACCCAAAGAAUAAGCACCGGCUAACUUCGUGCCAGCAGCCGCGGUAAUACGAAGGGUGCAAGCGUUACUCGGAAUUACUGGGCGUAAAGCGUGCGUAGGUGGUCGUUUAAGUCCGUUGUGAAAGCCCUGGGCUCAACCUGGGAACUGCAGUGGAUACUGGGCGACUAGAAUGUGGUAGAGGGUAGCGGAAUUCCUGGUGUAGCAGUGAAAUGCGUAGAGAUCAGGAGGAACAUCCAUGGCGAAGGCAGCUACCUGGACCAACAUUGACACUGA
rnacentral:rRNA from 1 species